rnacentral:lncRNA from 1 species
CUAAUUUUUGUAUUUUUAGUAGAGAUAGGGUUUCAUGAUGUUGCACCAGGCUGGUCUCGAACUCCUGACCUCAGGUGAUCCACCCACCUCCGCCUCGCAAAGUGUUGGGAUUACAGGCGUGAGCCACCGUGCCUGGCCCCAACUAUUCUAUCUCAACAUAAAUCAAGAGAUGGGAGAAGAACAUGAUUCGGGAUGUGCUUCUCUGUUGCUCUACCAGUCAUCCCUUCUCACCCAUGGGGCUGAUGCCAGUGAUCACAACUUGGGAUAUUAAACGAGAAGCCAUUCCAUGAAAUCAGUGGAGCAGGUCAGCCACAGACAUCAAGCUAACCAGCCAGGUGAAAAACUGCUAUCAGCCAUUUUCAAAACUACCACUAAUUUUUUAAUGUUUGAAAACCAAAUUAGGGCUUGACUACCUUUUUUAGUCUGACCACUGCCCAACCUUGCCUUCAAGUGGCUCAUGGACCAGUGAGAGAGACUGACACACAACAGGUAACAGUGUACAGCCUCACUGACGCUCCGAUGAGGUGCCAUGGCCUCACCCAGGACACCUAACCCUGACUGGGUAGGGUGUAGGGGCGGCAGUGGGGGUCAGACCUGCUUUCUCAAGGAAGUGAUGCCCAUCUGGAUAUUUAAGGCUGAGGGGCAUGGUGGAAGCCCCAGCGUGGAAGCGAGUCUCAUCAAACUCUCCCUUAUACCCUAGAGAAGAAAACAGAAACGCAUGUGAACUGCUUUGUGAUCGAUUUAUUUUAAAACCAUGGGAAGAAAUUUUUAAAAACACACACACACUUUGAAGAAAACAAAUCUAGCAAACCUACUUUUUACCACAACUGAAGCAUAUGCCGAAAGCUCUCCUUUAACAUUCAUCGCCGAGGCCCGGUACUGAGCUGUAUCUUCAAAAUCACAUCUGAAAGAACAGACGGAAAUGAAUAUCCAUCGUAGUGACAAUCCUUGUAAUUACUAGCUGUUCUAUCAAGGAACUCUUUGCUAUCACAGCCCCCUGCAAAUCAGUGGCUAACACAUGGCUCUUUGGUUCUCCUGGUACAGCUAUUUGUCUCUGAUCUAGCUACCUGUGGGAUAUUACCUAGUCCAAGUGAUCUACUGCAGUUUCAUGCCAGCAGCAUAGACUGGGGAGAGAACACCUAUAGUUCACUGUGACCCUAGCCUGGGUUCAUUUAAAAUGUCAAAAAAAAAAGUCAACCAAGUGCUAGGCACAUAAAUUAUAGAGUGAACAGCAUUGUGAUCCGCUUACUUGUCUAAAGUUGCAUUGGGAGGAGAAAAUGUGCAGGCGUGUACCUUUGUAGCAAGUAACUACCCAGAGGCACACUGGAGGGCGUGGCUUUCCUGCUGUCCUGCCCUUGUGGUGGGUUUCAGUCUGGGGGCAACCAGGAAAUAGGGAAGAGAAAGAAGCAGUCCCUCCGUGUAGAUUCCCACAACCUCCCUGAGCCACGUUGGUCUAUGUGUUCUAGCUUCAAAGCUCAUCUAAGUUAUUUACACUUCAUUUCCACUAAGGUUCAGGCCAUACUUGGAAUUUCAGCUCACAGCACACAAGAAGCGCCAUUUGGAUGUUCUUCUAAGUUAUAAUACAGAAACUGGAAUUCUUAUAAAAAUGGACCAUUAGGGAGAGAAUGGUUUCAUGGAGAGAUGAAGAGGCUAAGGUUUCAAAGCAGGUUGUUUUAUGUCUUAUCAUUACCAGUUUCUCGUGUUCUUCAUUGUUUCUCGGGGUUUAGUUUCAUUUGUGUAAAUUUUUUUUCUUGCUGAAAUUUUACAGACAUCAAUAGAACCCCAGCAAGGCAAACACAGUUGCCCUUCUCAUAACUACUUAAUUUUGAAAGUAACCACAUAGCUCACUGUUGCUUUAGCAGAACCACCCACUGGCAGAACUGACCUGACUUUGGGUCAGGGUCAGUGCCUGGCAAAUGGCACAGGGUCCUAGCAUCAUUUGGCCAACUCCUCUGAUCUGAGGAGAAGGCUAUAAGUCUCCUGAGAAUGAAUGGUAUAAAUUUCACCUUGACACUUAGGCACAUCAUGGUUUUAUCUAAACUGAAAAUUCUGGGAACUUGUUUAGCUUUUCAUUGACCUAAUUAGGUUUGAAUUUCAAAAUCAUCUUGGGAGGCAAAAUAAACAUUUGGGAACUUAGGAAUUUUGAUGUAGGUUUCGUUUUCAAAUUUUGCUUUGGAUUUUACUUUAAGCUCAAACAUCUCAAUGUCUAGCCUGCUUCACAUACACAGAUUGACAGAGUGCAUACUUUCCCAUGGUUCCUGGCAAGCUGAAGGAAAGAACAUUAUCUCCAAGUUUAGCCCACAUUCAAUGCCACCUACCCGGAUCUCCAUGGCCUUUAGUUAUUAAAAACAAGAGACUGUGAUGAUGAUAUUGAUUUGGGACUCUGAAAUGAUUACUGAAUAUAAAUGCCUCUUUAUGCAACAUAUUUUUCUUACUUACAUCUAAGAAAAAUUCC